CGGCCCAGACGGGUUUGAUCAGACUGACGACGGAGAUGUUGCCAAGAAAGCUUAGUCUCUACUCAUUUGUGUCCUGGAACUUUUCGUUGCAGUUUCAGAAAAUAAACUUAAUGGAAGUUUAUCAGUUUCUGUUUUUCAACGUUUGGUGUUGUUUUAUCAUGCAGAGACCUCUCGCUUUCUUAUGUUUUGUGUCACUUGAGGCCCGCAAAUAAAAGUUGUAAUAACUUGUAACAGACUCGUAUUCGUUCUAUUUAAGGUUUUCUAUACUAUAUACUACUAGUUCAAUUUAGUUUUAUAAGAUCUUUGAAACUGAAGACUACCCAAUCUGCUUUGGUUUAUGACAAGCGUCACCUGGUUCAUCAUCAGUUUUUGUUUUCGUUGAGCUUCUUCACAAGCUCUUCAAACCUCAAAAAGCCACAUGGCAGUUAGUGUACACAUAUCAGAGAAAAAAAACAAAUUUUUAUCAUACUGAAAGCGAUCUUACUGGACACAACAAACUAGGGAAGUAAUCAGCCAAUUACAGUUUUACCCUUCAAUUUUUUUUCUGAUAAUUGGAAUUAAAAUGUUUUGAGUAAAUCGUUGCGGUUCACAAAAUAGGUAAUAGGUCGAUGUGGCGAGAGAAGCGCGCAAAGUCUAUUAAUCACUGCUAAAACCUCAUAAGCCCUAAAACACCUGGAAGCUUCGAUAGAUACAGUCUCUGCAGAGCGAAUAUGGCGAGCAAGGAUUCGAAUCGCGAGCAACCACCUCCUCUGAGCAUCGAAAUCAAAGCCACUCAGGAUCAAUUCUUCGGUAAGCGCCGAUUUCUCUUCUCUACGAUGUGAAUCGAAUCGUCGUAGAUUGGUUUGUUGCAUAUGAUUACGCUUAGACGAUGAGAUUAGGUUUGGUGAUUGUGAUGAGAACAUUCCGAUCAUGCUCAAAUAGUCUAAACUCACAACGCCAUUGAUGUCUGUAGUGUGGAGAGAGUUCGUAUGGGGAGGUAUAGCUGGAGCUUUUGGCGAAGGGAUGAUGCAUCCCGUAGAUACUCUUAAAACUCGGCUUCAGAGUCAGAUUAUCAUGAAUGCGUCUCAGGUAUUGUAUUGUCAAGCGUACUUCACUUUGCAGUGAUUUUUUUUCGCUUUGUAAUUUCUGGUUUUAUCUGAGGAAAGGCGGAUUAUUAAAGAUUGUAUGCGGUUUGUGUAAUCUCUAACCUUGUUCAGCUGUUGAUUUCAGAGACAGAAGAGCAUUCCACAAAUGUUAAGGACUGUCUGGGUUGGUGAUGGACUGAAAGGUACAGCAUGCAUACUCUUUUCCCUCAGCUUCUUCAGCUUUCCAGUAAUGGCAGGCUGUAUUAUAUUCCCUAUUCAUCUGCGAAUUUGGAACAGGAUUUUUUUUUCCUGUGCUUUGAGUUUUUGGUUUUUGUUAUUUUGUUUCUGUGCUGACUUUAAUUUUAGGCUUUUAUAGGGGAAUUGCUCCUGGAGUCACUGGAUCUCUUGCCACUGGUGCAACCUACUUUGGUGUUAUUGAGUCCACAAAAAAAUGGAUUGAAGAGACUCAUCCCAACUUAGGAGGCCACUGGGUACACUUUAUUGCAGGAGCUAUUGGUAUGUUUCCUAAUAUCCUCUUUCCUCUCUCGUUCAUCUGAUCAAUAAGGUGGUGGUAAAUAUAGGAGGAAGAAGCUAAUUUUGAUGUCAAGCACACAGCAGAAAUGAAACUAAAUAUAACUUGGCUAAAAAGCAGAUAUUAUCAGACAUUUAAAUGUUGUGUUACGAUUAUAACUUUAGAUAUCGUGGGUCUUUAAAAGAUAGAUCAAGGUUUUCAGCAAAACCACACAUGGCAAGGUUGCAAGAAUUUCUGAUUCCUUUGUGUUCUGUUGCUUCUUUCAUUUUUUCAGGUGAUACACUUGGUUCUUUCGUAUAUGUUCCCUGUGAAGUAAUAAAGCAGCGGAUGCAAAUUCAAGGGACUAGUAGCUCCUGGAGCUCUUUUAUUUCGAGGGACAGCGUUCCAGUGAAACCAAGAGGUGACAUGUAUGGUUAUUAUACUGGAAUGGUCCAGGCUGGAAGCUCAAUAUUGAAAGAGCAAGGACCAAAAGGGCUGUAUGCUGGGUAUGUAAAUCUCCUUUAUAUCAUUAUUGAUGCCAAUUGGAUAUCCUUUUUCAAGGGACUCAUGUUGUUGUCUUUCCUUUUUCUUUGGCAGAUAUUGGUCUACACUAGCAAGGGAUGUACCUUUUGCUGGCCUCAUGGUAUGUAAUGUGUCAUUUCAGUGAAACUGUUACCUCCAUUCACCUAAUGGGUCUUUGUCUCCUCAUGUUGGUUCUGUAUUUCCUUCUCAGGUGAUGUUUUAUGAAGCAUUGAAGGAUCUAACAGAUCAAGGGAAGAAAAAGUUUCCACAAUUUGGAGUCAACAGUUCAAUCGAGGGGCUCGUUUUGGGAGGAUUAGCUGGUGGUACGUUAGAAUAAAGAUCAGUUUAAAGAAACUAUUCCAAAUAGCUCAUCCGCAGUGACCUUUGUUUAAUGUAAUCUCUCUCCAGGACUAAGUGCUUAUCUCACAACUCCACUGGAUGUUAUUAAAACAAGAUUGCAAGUACAAGGAACAACGAUCAAGUAUGUCUUAUUUCUUACAGAUUCAUAUGAUCAUACCUAAAAUAGCAUCCCCAGUUUUGAUUAAACUUUGUAAAUCUUGAUAGGUACAAGGGUUGGCUGGAUGCAGUUGGGCAGAUAUGGAGGAAGGAAGGUCCAGAGGGCUUUUUCAGGGGAAGCGUUCCGAGGGUCAUGUGGUAUAUUCCGGCCUCGGCACUCACUUUCAUGGCCGUUGAAUUCCUUAGAGUGAGUUUCAGAGAGAAAAGUAAGAAUAACAACAUUGUUGUCUCAAACUUAAGCAUAGAGAGUAAAAGAUCUUCGGUACAUGAGGUUAGAGAGAACUAGUGAGAUGAUGAUGCAUGUCUUCUUCUCAGAUACAGUUUAACAACAAUCUGAUUCUUCUUCAAUAAGAACCUUCUUUUAGUUCUCACAAAAAAAAAAAUUUGUAUAUAUAUAUCUCCAAAGUCAAACUCUUCCGACAACUUUCGGAACUGUGUUCUGUUUUCUUUUAACUGAUAGCAAAAGAGGAAGUGUUGUAAACCUUUUCGAAUAAAACCAGUAGUAACGGAUGCGAUAGAUGCGGAGAGGAGUUUGAGUCGAGGUUGGUCCCAUUAAAUAUUUGUUCUUCUGUCAUCUCCAGUUCUCCAGCAGUACACACUUUGUAUCAUCAUAUGUUGUUGAUCCACCAUUUAUAUAACCUUGGCCAGGACAAAACUAUUAUGGAGGUAACUCUCCUUAUGGUGGCAAUGCCGCUGGUGGUGGAUAUGGUGUUGCUGGGGGUGUUGGUGGAAGUGACAACUUCGCUCAAGGCAGUUCCUCUAAUGCUGGAUUUGAUGACAAGUUUAGCAGCAACGAAGCACUAGGCAAUGAUACGGAUCACCAGCUCGAAAGCGCGGGCGUUGAAGAACAGUUUGGUGGCAGUGACAAUCAGUUUGGUGACUCGGAUAAUGGGCAAACAGAGGUUGGCGGCCCAGACGGGUUUGAUCAGACUGACGACGGAGAUGUUGCCAAGAAAGCUUAGUCUCUACUCAUUUGUGUCCUGGAACUUUUCGUUGCAGUUUCAGAAAAUAAACUUAAUGGAAGUUUAUCAGUUUCUGUUUUUCAACGUUUGGUGUUGUUUUAUCAUGCAGAGACCUCUCGCUUUCUUAUGUUUUGUGUCACUUGAGGCCCGCAAAUAAAAGUUGUAAUAACUUGUAACAGACUCGUAUUCGUUCUAUUUAAGGUUUUCUAUACUAUAUACUACUAGUUCAAUU
rnacentral:lncRNA from 1 species